ensembl:lncRNA
GCUCCCGCUCCGGAGCUGCGCGGCUGGUACUGGGCCUGGGUCUCGGACCCUGCUAGAAAACGAGAACGAAGCGUGUUCAGUGCGGGGAUGGAGGCCGGACGAGCAGGUCGGCCCGCCCUCCAACUUGGCUGCGGGAAGGCGCCGGGUUUCUCCCUCCGUCCCUGCGAGUUGGUUCACCUGUUGUUCUGAGCGGCCUCCGUCCGCUGCCAUGUCUGUUGUGAUUCUGCACUUCGAUUUCGGAAAACUUUGUGCUGGUUUGCGUUUACAUCCCCCUCCCCUUCCAGACUCCUAGCGGAAAGAUUUGGCAAAGAAAAGAAAAAAUAAAAAAACUAAAACUCCCCAACACGUCGGGGAAGAAAAAUAAUUACGCCGUAUGUUUGUCGUGCCUGUUUCUUUUUUUUUUUUUUUUAAACUUGUAAGACUCCGUCUUGGUGUAGAUCUUUUUCAUUUAGUUAAAGGGCUGCAGGCUUUCUCUUUUAAACGGCUUACAAACUGUUCUGAGUAUAUGAUACGAACUGAGCACUCGUGUCUCUUCAUUUACUUUCUUGAGAUAGCCCUGGUUAUUGUAUUCUUUGUUGCUUUAGGAGAGGAAACCGAGACGCAGAGGUUAAAUAACUUAGAUAAGUGAGCUGGGAUUGGACCCAGGGACGUCGUAUUCAAGAGUAUGGCCUUCUUACAAAAGCAAAUUCUACAAGGACUUAGGAGCGUUUUCUAGUUAUUCACGAACUCCUGUGUUGCUUCAGUUGUAAAACGACAUGUGUUUGCUCGUGAGGGGAAAUUAAACUUCGUGAUAAAAUAAAAAGUAAUUUAAUGCUUAUCAUUGUUCUCUAACAAAAAGAUGCUAUACCAAAACUACCUUAGCUUUUUAAGGUCAACACUAAAAUAUGGACACUUCUUGGGAACCCAGAGUUUAUGGAAAACAUUUAAAUUUGGAAUGGGCUUUUAAUUGAACCUGUACUCUGUUUUAUAUUUUCCUCCCGCCCCCACCCGGGCCCCCGUUCUCGGGGGAGACCUUUUUAACUGUCUUUCCUUCUCCCCACCCUUUAAGAGCGAAGAGUCCAGGGCUUGCUCUUUGCUUUGGAUUACUUCUCCAAUUUUCUUUCCUUCCAGAGGACCUCUCCCGUUUACUAGUUACAUUUUGAUUCAUCUCCUUUUCUUACCUAUUGCGGCAUGAUUAUCCUUUCUGUUGUCUUGUUUUUUGUUGUCCCUGUUGUAUUGAUACAGAGUUUCAAUAUAUAGCUCAGGCUGGCCUCCAACUGGCUGUAGCCCAGGCUGGUAUUAUGGGUUUUUUUUAAAAAGUACAUGUACUUAGGAUCUUUCAAUUUACAAAAACUUCUAUAGUUUAGCUGUUCUCUCAAGCUGUGUUAUAUUUUCUUUUCAAAUUAUAUUAAGAUCUUGAAGUUUCUUUCUUACAAAAGUAAUACAUAGUAGUUAAAGAGAAAUUGCAAAAUAGAGCAAAAUUGAAGUAAAAUUAGAACACAGUCAUCCGUAAUCCCUCCUGUAGAGACUGCCAGGAGUAGACUUACUUUUCCUGCCUGGACUCUGGUGACCAUCCAUCGACUUAACUCCUUACUGACUGGAUUUCACAUUCACAAAGAAACUAGCUUAAUCAGAUCUAAGCAUGUUUUUGAGGCCUGAACUUUUUGCUAGGGACACCCUCUACAAUUUAGCUACAUCUCCAGCUGGACUUCUCAUCCUUAAAACAUGACCUUGCUGUUUUCUUCAUCUGUGUUUUAUUGGAGGAACAUAUACUGUAUUCUGACACACUAAGGGUGGGGGGCAACCACACAUAUUGUCCCUGUACUCGUGGAGCUUAAAAGUCUAGUGGGGGAGACGUGUGGAAGGAUGAGUUCUAUAUAAUUAAGUGUAAUUGUGAUGGUAAUUGAAGUGUAGGGUAUUACGGAAGCUUAAAGUGGAGACCUGACCUGGUGCUGGUGGUGCUUAGAGAGUCUAGGAAGGCUUCUCUGAGAAUGUUACUUUGCAUUCUGACAGUUGUGAAGGGAGAAGAAUAACUCGGGUUGGGUGCAGAGGGGGUCUUAUCCCCUUUGCCCUCUUUCCUCCUCCUCUCAAUUAUUUCCUGGUCUCACUUUUCACAUCACUUAAAAAAUGUUUCUAAGUCCCUUGAAUUGUUACGUUCAUUCCUGUGGGAAUGCUUGCAGGAGCAAGUCUUUCCUUCUGCCAUGUGGGUCCCGGUUUGUCUCCUUAGGCUUGGUUGGUAGCAGGCACCUUGACCUGCUGAGAUGGCUGGCCGGCCCUCCCAUGAAUUACUGUUCAGAUUUUUCCUUCUCAUUAUUUCUCAAAUCCUGAUUUCCUUCUGAAUUUGAGUUCUUCUGGUUGCUUCAUGUAAAAAACUGAACGUGGUAAUGGAGUUUAGAUUGAGCUCUUCUGACUGGCUUGUCCCUGCUAAUGGAGCAAGCAAAAUCUUUCCUCAGUCCUUCCCACCCAGUCUGUAGACAACAUCUACACCUACUAUUUCUUUCCUGACACUGCGACUGGUCUUUGUACGCCUGCCCACUCUGGUACAAGUGUUAGUUUGUGCUGGUGUAGGGAUUGUAGUAGUCAGGGUAAUAGGUCGCUUUCUCCUUGCUCUUUCAGGGGCACUUUGAACUGGGAUUGUUGUCCUUGAAUGGCUGGCAUCUAGAAGUAUGUGUAUGUAUAUAUACAUAUAUAUGUAUACCUGUGUCAUGCCAUAUAUAUAUAUAUAUAUAUAUACAUGCCAGCCGUAUGUAUAUGUAUGUAUGUGUAUGUAUGUAUGUACACACACACACACACACACACAUACAUUUAAACCUGGAUUUUUUUUUUCUGGAAAAGACUUUUCUAUUUAUUUAAUAACUAUUGGUUUGUGUAGAAUUUCUAUUUCUUUUGAAUUUUAAAGCUUUGUAUUUUUAAAGAUUUAUUUUCAUUUUAAUUAGUUGUAUGUGUGCAUGUCUCUAUGUGGGUAUGCAUGUGCUGGUGAAUAUGGGUGUCCAGGCAGGCCAGAAGAGGGAGUUGGGUUCUCUGGAGCUGAAGUUAAAGGCAAUUAAUUGUGAGCCACCCCAAAAUCUUUCCUGGGAAGCACACUCUGGCCUGCUGAGCCACCACUUUAGACCUGAGUUUCAGAUUUUUUUUUCCAGGAAUUUAUCAAGUGUUCCAGAAAUAAUUUUUUGAAAUAACCUUUUCUUAGUUCAAGAAUUGUAUAGAGUGUAUUUCAAUUAUUUUCAUUCUCCACUUUCAAUUCCCUAUCCACCUAAUUUCCAGUUUUCUUAAAACCUUUCUUGUUGUUUCUUUUUGUUUUGUUUUGCUUUUUGAGACACAGUUUUCUCUUUGUAGUUCUGGCUGUCCUAGACCUCUGUAGACCAGAGUGGCCUUAAACGCAGAGAUCUGCCAGCCUCUGCCUCCUUAGUGCUGAGAUUAAAGAUGUAUGCCCAGUCUAAACACUUUUUUAAAAUUAAACUGAUCGUUCAAUUUGUGUAGGCUCAGCUACCUUUGGGAGUCAGGCCUGCCGUGGAGUGCGCCUGGUCAGCCUACCAGCAGGGAUCACACCUUUAAAGAAACCGACUCUCUCUCCAGCAGCUAGCAGAUGAAGAGCUAGCCCUCUUCAGCUGGGGGUAGGAUUUCAUGCCAUCCCUCCACCCCAGUGAUGGGAUUUUGUUUGGUUUGCGUUUGUUCAGGUCUUGUGCAUACUGUCAUAGCCACUGUGAGUGUCUGUGCGGUGUGCAGCGAAUGCCCUGCUGUGUCCAGAAAACACGGCUUCUGUGAAGAUGCCUGCAGCCUCUGGCUCCUACAGUCUUCCUGUCUGUCCUUCCAUCUCUCGAACCUGUCUAGAAGGGUGUGGUGUGGCAGUGGCUGGCCUUGUACUUGGCUUCGAACAAGUGGCUGUCCUCCAGUCUCUGUCCUGAGGGAUAUGAUUGCAUGCAGGUGUUCACCAUUAUACCCGGCUCCCCAGUCCUGUGCUGACUAUGGUAAGAUUGUUUCCAGUUUUUCUCCUGUGUUGUAAGUAGUACUGUCCUUCUCUGUGAGACUGUUUUGUAGGAUAAAUUCUUACAAAUGCAUCUACUCUAAGAGGUGUGCAAACUUCAUUGUAUCCCAGCGGACAGUGUUUGUGUGUUCUUCCCCAUGGCUAGUAUUGGUUUAUUUUUACUUUUCUAAUCUGCCACUGAAAAGUUACUCCUGCUACAAAAUUACUUGUAGAGAAAUUACUUUGAGAGUUAUUAGCUAUUAUUAUUAUUAUUAUUAUUAUUUAUUAGCUUCUUAGUGGAUGAAUUUUGUUCUAAAAUAGUGUAAACGAAAUACCUUAUACAAAGAAAGUGCAUACAUAUUUGUGUCUGUUAAUGGCAAUAGGCUCCAAAAUAUGCUUCUGUGUCAUAAAAAUUACUUUGACCUGAAGGCAUUUGCAAAUGGAAUUUUGUCCUCACCUCCUUACCUGCCUGAAGCAGAGCUUUCCAAAAGAGCUCCCUUGGCAUAGGCUCUAAGCCCCUCUGGGACUUGAACUGCCGUAAUGCUCUCCCUUUUGGAAUUUUGAAAUCAUGGAAGGUUGAGUCUUACUAGAGGAACCACACAUAAACAGACAUGGCUAAAAAUCCAAACUACUGCUUACCAAUCCUAAAAGUUACUUGUUUUAUGCUCCUUCUAUCACUUGGACUUCCUUGGUUAGAAGUAUCUUUCUUACUUGUGGCUGUCCUCCAGUCUCUGUCCUGAGGGAUAUGAUUGCAUGCAGGUGUUCACCAUUAUACCCGGCUCCCCAGUCCUGUGCUGACUAUGGUAAGAUUGUUUCCAGUCUUUCUCCCGUGUUGUAAGUAGUACUGUCUUACUCUGUGAGACAGAGUCCUCUGUGUGUGCGUGUGCGUGUGUGUGUGUGUGUGUGUGUGAGAGAGAGAGAGAGAGAGAGAGAGAGAGAGAGAGAGAGAGAGAGAGAGAGAGAAAUAGAGAUAUUAAUGCUGGAAGUCUAGUUGCUGAAACUAAAGAGAGCAGAGGAAAACCUUUUCUUCUUUAGUAAUGGCUAAAUUCAUCUCUAGUCCCAGCAUCUGUGUAGAGAUAAGAAAAGUGACAUUUCUCUAAAAAUACUUAAAAAUAAUAUUAUUUAAAACUAUAUAAAAAUACUUUAAGCAUCAGUAAAAUUUCUUUAAACUGAAUUUUCCAAAAUCUGUUCUCUAAAACUAAAUAUUAAGUAUUGUUGAAUGUUCUUAGAUGUACUUCUCUACAUAGUCUUCCACUUCCGCAUAUAUUCUGUGGCUGUCUCUUUUUAAAGUGUGUGUCUCUUUUUAAAGUGGAGUAGCAUAAUACCUCAGCUCUAAUUGUAUGCUUCUUUGUUUUUAAAUUUAUCUUCAUAUCAAUUUGGCUGAAAGAGUAAAUUGGUUGUCCAGGUUCUUCUGAUCAUAUCAGUGAGGAGGAAUGACAAAGUCUUUUUUUAAAAAGAAUUUAUUUAUUUAUUAUAUAUAAGUACCCUGUAGCUGUCUUCAGACACCAGAAGAGGGCAUCCAAUCUUAUUACAGAUGGUUGUGAGCCACCAUGUGGUUGUUGGGAUUUGAACUCAGGACCUCUGAAGAGCAGUCAGUGCUCUUAACUGCUGAGCCAUCUCUCCAGCCCGAGGCAUUUAAGUUAAAUUUCUUGUAGCUUUUAUUUUUAUUUUCUGUGUGAGUGAUUGAGUGGAUGUCUGCACCAUGGCCAGAGAGGGUGUUAUCCCCUGGAAGUGGAGUUACUGACUCUUAUGACCUGCCAUGUGGGUAAUGUUAGGAAUUGAACCAUAGUCCCCUGAAGAAUAAUGAAUGC